AUUGAACGCUGGCGGCAGGCCUAACACAUGCAAGUCGAGCGAGUGGCGGACGGGUGAGUAAUGUAUGGGAAAAUGCCUGAUGGAGGGGGAUAACUACUGGAAACGGUAGCUAAUACCGCAUACCAUCGGAUGUGCCCAGAUGGGAUUAGCUAGUGGGUGGGGUAAAGGCUCACCUAGGCGACGAACCCUAGCUGGUCUGAGAGGAUGACCCGCCACACUUGAACUGAUACACGGGCCAGACUCCGACGGGAGGCAGCAGGGGGGAAGAUUGCACAAUGGGCGCAAGCCUGAUGCAGCCAUGCCGCGUGUAUGAAGAAGGCCUUCGGGUUGUAAAGUACUUUCAGCGGGGAGGCGUUACCCGCAGAAGAAGCCCCGGCUAACUCCGUGCCAGCAGCCGCGGUAAUUC
rnacentral:rRNA from 1 species